AAUCAACGCUGGCGGCGUGCCUAACACAUGCAAGUCGAACGCGAAAGGGGCUUCGGUCCUGAGUAGAGUGGCGGACGGGUGAGUAACACGUGGAUGACCUGCCCUCGAGUGGGGGAUAACUCUUCGAAAGGGGAGCUAAGACCGCAUGAGCUCCCGGGGGCGACUCUGGGAGGAAAGCCUUAGGGUGCUGGAGGAGGGGUCCGCGACCGAUUAGCUGGUUGGUGGGGUAAGGGCCUACCAAGGCGACGAUCGGUAGCCGGUCUGAGAGGACGGACGGCCACACUGGAACUGAGAGACGGUCCAGACUCCUACGGGAGGCAGCAGUGGGGAAUUUUGCGCAAUGGGCGCAAGCCUGACGCAGCAACGCCGCGUGGAGGAUGAAGGUUUUCGGAUUGUAAACUCCUGUCCCGGGGGAAGAAGGCAGUGACGGUACCCUGGGAGGAAGCCCCGGCUAACUCCGUG
rnacentral:rRNA from 1 species